GACAGAGGGUGCAAACGUUGUUCGGAAUUACUGGGCGUAAAGCGAGUGUAGGCGGUCUGCUAAGUCGGGUGUGAAAGCCCUGGGCUCAACCCAGGAAGUGCACUCGAAACUGGCGGGCUAGAGUAUCGGAGAGGUUGGUGGAAUUCUCGGUGUAGAGGUGAAAUUCGUAGAUAUCGAGAGGAACACCGGUGGCGAAGGCGGCCAACUGGACGAAUACUGACGCUGAGACUCGAAAGCGUGGGGAGCAAACAGG
rnacentral:rRNA from 1 species